rnacentral:rRNA from 1 species
GGUGCGCAGCUACCUGCAGUCGACGGUACCAGGAAGAAGCUUGCUUCUUUGCUGACGAGUGGCGGACGGGUGAGUAAUGUCUGGGAAACUGCCUGAUGGAGGGGGAUAACUACUGGAAACGGUAGCUAAUACCGCAUAACGUCGCAAGACCAAAGAGGGGGACCUUCGGGCCUCUUGCCAUCGGAUGUGCCCAGAUGGGAUUAGCUAGUAGGUGGGGUAACGGCUCACCUAGGCGACGAUCCCUAGCUGGUCUGAGAGGAUGACCAGCCACACUGGAACUGAGACACGGUCCAGACUCCUACGGGAGGCAGCAGUGGGGAAUAUUGCACAAUGGGCGCAAGCCUGAUGCAGCCAUGCCGCGUGUAUGAAGAAGGCCUUCGGGUUGUAAAGUACUUUCAGCGGGGAGGAAGGGAGUAAAGUUAAUACCUUUGCUCAUUGACGUUACCCGCAGAAGAAGCACCGGCUAACUCCGUGCCAGCAGCCGCGGUAAUACGGAGGGUGCAAGCGUUAAUCGGAAUUACUGGGCGUAAAGCGCACGCAGGCGGUUUGUUAAGUCAGAUGUGAAAUCCCCGGGCUCAACCUGGGAACUGCAUCUGAUAC